CAGCGUUUCCCCCGCUGCACAAUAUCGAGUGAGUCAUCUCCGCUCCGUGCGGAUACGUCACUUUUUUCCCCCGCGGUGGCUGCUACCUCCCGGCACCAGGGGUAGUUAGUUCUGUAUAGAACACGGCCACCUUGCCGCAGGUCCAAAUCCACCUUUUAGGCUCCUUUGGUCUUUAUCCGCCUCAAAACUCCGGUCUUUCGUAAACCUUCGUUGUGUAAGACCAUAAACCACCUGUGCGGAGCGCUGGUGAUAGCGGGAUUAGACAGGUGCAGCGCGCGGCCCGGAGCUCCCAGGCCGCUGGAGGAGGUGGUGCCGAGUCCGCCGCAUCAGGGAGACUGCGGUCCUCAAAGGCAAACGCCUGGCAGAGGCGACUUGAGGAUCUUAGUCAUCUUCUUUUCAAGUUCUUCUCUCAGGAUCCAGUGUGUAGUAAAGCAUGCGGGGUGUUUUUAAAUACGGCGUUUUUUCAGGAUAGCGGUAAUGUCCCCCAAACUGAAACCUAACCUGAAAACUUUUAAGAUUGCAGAUUGCAACCUGUUUAGCCCAGCCCGAGUCACCUUUCAUUUUGUAAAUAAUCCCGAGAAAGGCGAAAAUAUGUGUGUGUUGAUUAGAUCAAACAAAAGCAAAAGAAGCCUAAGAUGUAAAGCAUGAAAAUCCACAUUAUUGUAACGUGUACUCAUUGUGUUGAAAACCAGCUGCUAAAAUAAAGUGCCGAUUUGAGUCCUGGCUACUCUCUUCUGAUCCAGCUUUCUGCUAAUGGGCCCAAGAGAUAAGAACAGCAAUGGAGAGUUCCAGCCUCCUGGCUUCACCGAGUCCAGCCUCAGCUGUUGUGGGCAUUUGAGGAGUGAACCAAUAGGAAGCCACAUAGUGAGGUUUUAACAGCCUGUGUUUACACGUGCUUCAGCGAGGCCUGAGAAAGCAUAACCGUGACCCAGAGUGUAGAGGGCCGGGACUUUGAAUUCUUCUUUUGGUGUUGGUGAUACUGCUAUGGAGGUGCACUCUGACUUCUAUCUUGUGAUCAACGCCCAGAUCUGUGAAGACAACUGACUUGGGUGAGGGGAUCUUUCAGUGGUCAUGAAAACAGUUAACCAACAGAUUCCCUGAAUAUUGUCACAGCAUGUUGAUCCAUCUCUUCUUUCAGUGCCUUGCCAAACACCAAGAAAUAAUGUUGAAGAAAAUCUGCCUUAGCCCAAUUUAAAGAGCAUCAUGUUGGCCCCUGGAGCUGUUUGACUCAAAAGCCCUAAAGACACACAUCCUGGUAGUCACAAAUGGCUUGAAAAUCAGUUUUAGAUUUAAAAGGAAAGCAGCAAAAGUAAUACAUGUGGAAUUUCACAACUAAAAAAUAUCAGUAUGUUUCAACCAAAUGUCUUCUUUGCACCCUCUUCCUUCCUAGGUUUUAUUGUUUGUGUAUUCUCCAAACACACAAGGAUAAUUGUGAUUGCAAUAUGAAAUUUAUCUUGGGAGCUGUGGGCCAUUUGAUUUCCUGGCAGAUGAGAAAAGGGGUGGGAAUUAAACAGUUUUUCCACACUCAUAAUAGUAGUAGAUCACACUUUUGUAUUUUAACUCCCUUCAUGAAGUGAAUGCUAUCUUCACAGUGAUGUUUAUUUUGUUUGGCUUGCAGAAAAAGUAUAUUUUAGCCUUAGGCAUGUAUUUAAAUCCUUAAAAUAGCAGAAAAUCACUUAGAACCCAGUUUGCAUUACAAGGAGGCUUGCUUAUUUGUGGUUUGUGGAUUUGCUAAAAACAGUUUUAUUAAGACGUAAUUUAUAUACCAUAAAGUUCACCCAUUUAAAGUAUAUAAUUCUGUGGGUUUUAAUAUACUUACCAGGCUGUACAUGUGGCUCCUUCUUUAAUAUUGUUUAGAAAGCACUCUGCUGUAACUUCUAUAUGACUAAGCCCUAAUAUAAUUAUGUCUUUCAUUUAUUUGGACACCUUAUGGAGUAGUGAUUAAGAGUAUGGACUCUGGACCCAGCCAGCCUGAAUAAAAUCCCAACUCUGCCAUGUGCCUUGAAAGAGUUACUACUAACCUUUCUGUGACUUGGUUUUCUUGUAUAUAAAAUAGCAAUAAUCAUAGAAUCUCCUAAUUGGGAGGAUUAAAUGAAUUAAACAAUGUAAAGAGCUCAGAGCAGUACCUGGCUCAUUAUAAGCACUAUAUAAGUGUUUGCUAUUACCAACAUAUUUCUCUUUAAACUUAGGUAUGGAUUGAUCAUAAUUCUUAGUUCAUGACACAGUAAUUAAUGACUCAUCCAUGGCCUUUAAAUUUUAUUUAUCAAUAACAUACUGAUUUCCAUGAACCCAGCACUAAAAUAAAAAAUUCCCAGUAUUUAAAUCUACCUAAGUGAUCCUUUGUCCUAUCAACUGCCUGCCUUUACAUAUGUUCUGAUCUAGUAUUUGGCAACCCUUGCUAUUUAAGCAGAACUUUUUAAAAGUUUUAAAGGGGGGUCUGGCAUUGUAGUGCAGUGGGUUUAGCUGCCGCCUGUGACACAGCAUUCCAUAUCAGAGUACCGUUUCCAAUCUAGCUCCGCUUCCAAUCCAGCUCACUACCAUGUGCCUGGGAAAGCAAUGGGGGGUGGCCUAAAUACCUGGACCCCCACCACCAUGUAGGAGAUCUGAAUGUGGUUCCAGGUUCCCAGCUUUAGCCUGGUCCAGCCCCUAUCAUUGUGGCCAUUGUGGCCAUUUGGAGAGUGAAUCAACAGAUGGAAGAUCUUUUUUCUCUCUCUCUCUCCUACUCUGUCUCUUUGCUUUUCAACUAAAUAAAUUGUAUUGGAGGCCGGCGCCGCGGCUCACUAGGCUAAUCCUCCGCCUUGCGGCGCCGGCACACCGGGUUCUAGUCCGGGUCGGGGCGCCGGAUUCUGUCCCGGUUGCCCCUCUUCCAGGCCAGCUCUCUGCUGUGGCCAGGGAGUGCAGUGGAGGAUGGCCCAGGUGCUUGGGCCCUGCACCCCAUGGGAGACCAGGAAAAGCACCUGGCUCCUGGUUCCUGCCACCGGAUCAGCGCGGUGCGCCGGCCGCAGCGCGCCGGCUGCGGCGGCCAUUGGAGGGUGAACCAACGGCAAAGGAAGACCUUUCUCUCUGUCUCUCUCUCACUGUCCACUCUGCCUGUCAAAAAAAAAAAAAAAAAAAAAAUUGUAUUGGAUAAAAAUUUUAAUGCAAUCAUGAAGAGUUCAUCUAUAUAUCUAUAUAUCAUAUAUAAAUCUGUGCUUUCACACAUGUGCAUACAAAUUUAACUUAAAAAUAUUUUCUUUUAGUUUUUUUCACUUCAUACAGAACUUAUAUUUGAACAUACAGUUAUCUAAUCUCCUGAGGCUUGUAUUUUUCAUUCACUGUGUUAAUAUGAUCCUUCCAUGUUAUCAUACAGUGUUAUAGUUUCUUUUCAUCACUGUAUUGAAUAUGCUACCAUUUAUAUAUAUACAUAUACAUAUAUUCUUUUUUGGCAAGCAUAUGGCUGAGUUCCAGUUUUUGUGCUAUUAUGCAUACUGUUACCAUGAAGAUUCUCAUUGCUGUGUCCUGAGGCGCUCAUGCAAGAAUUUCUCUGGGAUGGGAUGGGGAGGUGAAAGGCAGGGGAUAUCUGGUAGUAGAAUUACGGGAUUAACCUUUAAUCCAUAUUAUAUAUUGAAUGCUAAAUUUGACAAGAUGGUGUCAAAUUGUUUUCUAAAGUGAUUUUUAGCAACUUAAAAUCUCACCAUCAAUCUUUAAGUGAACUUAUUGAUUCAUGUCACUGACAUUUUAUAAUUUGUUUAACCAAAUAAGUGUAAAAUAAUAUUUCUCUCUGGUUCUGUUUCCCUGACUACCCAUGAGAUUGCAUGUCUCUUCGUAAAUUUACUGGCCAUGUGUGUUUCUUCUUCUAUGAAAUAUCUAUACAUGUCUUGCUCAUCUAAUGCAUUAUGUCUUAUAUUUGUAGUUUUUCACAUAUUCUUGAUCUAAUCCUUUGUAGGGUACAUGGCAGAUUUUUUUCUCUAGUUUGUGGCUUACCUCAUCAAUUUAAUCUAAUUUUUAGUAAACAGAAGUUCUUAGUUUAAAUAAAGUUGAAUUUAUCAAUC